GAUGAACGCUGGCGGCGUGCCUAAUACAUGCAAGUCGAGCGAACAGAUAAGGAGCUUGCUCCUUUGACGUCAGCGGCGGACGGGUGAGUAACACGUGGAUAACCUACCUAUAAGACUGGGAUAACUUCGGGAAACCGGAGCUAAUACCGGAUAACAUAUUGAACCGCAUGGUUCAAUAGUGAAAGGCGGCUUUGCUUUCACUUAUAGAUGGAUCCGCGCCGUAUUAGCUAGUUGGUAAGGUAACGGCUUACCAAGGCAACGAUACGUAGCCGACCUGAGAGGGUGAUCGGCAACACUGGAACUGAGACACGGUCCAGACUCCUACGGGAGGCAGCAGUAGGGAAUCUUCCGCAAUGGGCGAAAGCCUGACGGAGCAACGCCGCGUGAGUGAUGAAGGUCUUCGGAUCGUAAAACUCUGUUAUCAGGGAAGAACAAAUGUGUAAGUAACUGUGCACAUCUUGACGGUACCUGAUCAGAAAGCCACGGCUAACUACGUG
rnacentral:rRNA from 1 species